CCUUCUUUUUCAAUCUCUGCUCAUCAAGAAUGAUAAAAGCACCAUCACGGUCUACUCCAACCAGAUUCGCCGCGGGUGGCAUAUGGAGCCAUCGAGGUGUCACCAAUGUCGGCAUCUCCUUCUUCGAUCGGCACCGGCCGCCGCAGCUUCAAACGUUGUGGCGCGUCACAUCAUACCAAGUAAUCUGGCCAGCAUGGAGCAGGCAACCAAGGAAGCACUUGCAGCAGCUAAUAAGAAAGCUUUUGAGAAAAAAUUUGAAAACUGUUCAAAGGAUUUACUUGCAGCAAGAGAGCUCGCUACAUCUGCUUCUGAAGCUGUGGCAAAAUCCAGAAAGUUAAUUCUAAUAUUAUCUUAAUGAUUAUGCAUAUUUCUGUACUUCGACAGAUCAGGUUCCUAGAUGAGAAAUACAACAUUCAACCAGAACCUUUGCAUGGAUUUUCUCUCUGUUCAAAAUUAUAUAAAAGUUGAAUACUUGUUAAAUGUCAACUUUUGAACUGAACAUGGAAGAGAGGAGGACAUUGCUUGAUAAUGCAGCUCUUCUCCAGACAUUGCAAUGUUAAUGCUCUGAGAUCUUGAAUGGGCCAUGCGAGUGUCAAACUCAAAAACUUUUGAGCUCUCGUCAAAUCCAUUCGAUGGUGCCUUACACUAUAUGCAUGCACUUCUAUUGCCAGAUUGAUAAUUUCUUGUUGCAUCAAACUAUUGCUGCCACGAGAGAAAAAAUUGGCUUAAAAAAUAUGGCAAUGUUGAUGGAAAGAGAUUGAACAGGACCAUUUUUUUACCACAAAUUAUCUGGAAGGAGAUUCUGGUGAAAUUUGUUCUCCUUGUCCAUGGAUUGACGAGGUCGAACCGACCGAGCAACAACUUGAGCUCUUAUCAUUGCUUGCUCACUGUGAAGAGUUGCAACAACCAUUUUUUGAACUAGAUACCCUCUAACAAGAGCCUGUAUCUUAACCAAUCCUUUGAGUGCUCUAAGAGCUUUUCGCGCCUGAAUGCAACACAUUGUUAGAAGUUGAAUUCAAGUGGGUGAAGAAAUGAUAGUGGUAAUUCCUUGGGAAGAAUGAUGGGAAUUGGCUCUUAAAGAUAAUUCCAAUCCACAGAUAGUCUUGCUUCCCCUACAUCUACAAAUACGUACAAAAUUUAACACUGCUGCGUGGGAUUAUGCCCUGAGCAUGUCUGGCAAGCCUUAUGGUUAUCACAAUAUGAUAUUUAAACCUUAAAAUAGUGCUUAUGGUUUUAGAGAGCAGCAUGCCAUACUAAUAAGAUGAAUGGGAUGGAAUUAUGGACAGACUAUUAUGCUGGUAUCAACGAUUUUAGUAAAGUUAUACUUAGUGCUUUUGUUGUGAUAUAUGGAUGCUUGUUUUUUCUCUAACUAGAGGAAAGGUUCUUGCUUAACCAAGCAGUGAAUGAGGCAAUAAAUAUCUACUCUACCUCUGCCCCUGCGUUUUUCAUAGAAAGGACGCAUCAAAUUAGCAUGCCUUCUUUAUUAUUAUUAAGCUUGUUAGUUCAGAUUUGAGUGAUAGGAAGUCAAAUCCUGAAUGGCAUUUUCUCCUUGCAGGUAAUUUUUGUCAUGUCUAUGUGGACUAGAUUGCAGCCAACAUAUUAUGCUAAUAUAUGGAAUGAAGCAUUGAAGAUAUUAUUAGUCAUUUACUUUACAGAGCAGAUGGAUUCUCAAAAUUGAAAGUCAUUACUUCAACAAGAAAAUCACCAAUAACGAUUUGGAGACUGUGUCUCUGCUAUUAGGGUUCAUAAAUUGGGGGUGAACGAAGGC